CAGGAGAUAGGGGUUUGGACAGGCUCAGGAACGAACGCUGGCGGCGUGCCUAAUACAUGCAAGUAGAACGCUGAAGAGAGGAGCUUGCUCUUCUUGGAUGAGUUGCGAACGGGUGAGUAACGCGUAGGUAACCUGCCUUGUAGCGGGGGAUAACUAUUGGAAACGAUAGCUAAUACCGCAUAACAAUGGAUGACACAUGUCAUUUAUUUGAAAGGGGCAAUUGCUCCACUACAAGAUGGACCUGCGUUGUAUUAGCUAGUAGGUGAGGUAAUGGCUCACCUAGGCGACGAUACAUAGCCGACCUGAGAGGGUGAUCGGCCACACUGGGACUGAGACACGGCCCAGACUCCUACGGGAGGCAGCAGUAGGGAAUCUUCGGCAAUGGGGGCAACCCUGACCGAGCAACGCCGCGUGAGUGAAGAAGGUUUUCGGAUCGUAAAGCUCUGUUGUAAGUCAAGAACGGGUGUGAGAGUGGAAAGUUCACACUGUGACGGUAGCUUACCAGAAAGGGACGGCUAACUACGUGCCAGCAGCCGCGGUAAUACGUAGGUCCCGAGCGUUGUCCGGAUUUAUUGGGCGUAAAGCGAGCGCAGGCGGUUUGAUAAGUCUGAAGUUAAAGGCUGUGGCUCAACCAUGGUUCGCUUGGAAACUUCAAACCUGAGUCCAA
rnacentral:rRNA from 1 species